rnacentral:rRNA from 1 species
GUAAACGAUGUGUGUUAGACGUUGGAAAUUUAUUUUCAGUGUCGCAGCGAAAGCGAUAAACACACCGCCUGGGGAGUACGACCGCAAGGUUAAAACUCAAAUGAAUUGACGGGGACCCGCACAAGUAGUGGAGCAUGUGGUUUAAUUCGAAGAUACGCGCAGAACCUUACCAACACUUGACAUGUUCGUCGCGACUUUAAGAGAUUAAAGUUUUCGGUUCGGCCGGACGAAACACAGGUGCUGCAUGGCUGUCGUCAGCUCGUGUCGUGAGAUGUUGGGUUAAGUCCCGCAACGAGCGCAACCCUCACUUUUAGUUGCCAUCAUUAAGUUGGGCACUCUGAAAGAACUGCCAGUGAUAAGCUGGAGGAAGGUGGGGAUGACGUCAAGUCCUCAUGGCCCUUACGUGUUGGGCUACACACGUGCUACAAUGGUAUCUACAACAGGAAGCAAGACGGCGACGUUAAGCAAAUCCUUAAAAGAUACCUCAGUUCGGAUUGCACUCUGCAACUCGAGUGCAUGAAGCUGGAAUUACUAGUAAUCGUGGAUCAGCGUGCCACGGUGAAUGCGUUCCCGGGUCUU